CACGGGGGGAGCAAGCGUUGUUCGGAAUCACUGGGCGUAAAGGGUCUGUAGGUGGCUUACUAAGUCAGACGUGAAAUCCCUCAGCUUAACUGGGGAACUGCGUCUGAUACUGGAAAGCUUGAGUGCAGGAGAGGAACGCGGAAUUCCAGGUGUAGCGGUGAAAUGCGUAGAUAUCUGGAGGAACACCGGUGGCGAAGGCGGCGUUCUGGACUGCAACUGACACUGAGAGACGAAAGCCAGGGGAGCAAACGGG
rnacentral:rRNA from 1 species